GAUGAACGCUGGCGGCGUGCCUAAUACAUGCAAGUCGAGCGAACGGACGAGAAGCUUGCUUCUCUGAUGUUAGCGGCGGACGGGUGAGUAACACGUGGAUAACCUACCUAUAAGACUGGGAUAACUUCGGGAAACCGUAGCUAAUACCGGAUAAUAUUUUGAACCGCAUGGUUCAAAAGUGAAAGACGGUCUUGCUUUCACUUAUAGAUGGAUCCGCGCUGCAUUAGCUAGUUGGUAAGGUAACUGCUUACCAAGGCAACGAUGCAUAGCCGACCUGAGAGGGUGAUCGGACACACUGGAACUGAGACACGGUCCAGACUCCUACGGGAGGCCGCAGUAGGGACUCUUCCGCAAUGGGCGAGAGCCUGACGGAGCAACGCCGCGUGAGUGAUGAAGGUCUUCGGAUCGUAGAGCUCUGUUAUUCGGGAAGAACAUAUGUGUAAGUAACUGUGCACAUCUUGACGGUACCUAAUCAGAAAGCCACGGCUAACUACGUG
rnacentral:rRNA from 1 species